CGAAGCCGUGCUUCACGUGCUCAGCGAACUGCAGGUGCUGAAACCAACUGCUGAGGAACGAGGAGGGCUGAAAGAGCUGCAGCAGUGAGAAAGGCCAGCACUCCACAUCCUUAUACCUCACUGUGAGAGUCGUAUUGACCUCAUGGGGUCAUGGGUCUUCACAUGGAAUGAUGGGAAAUCCAAACAUUGCUGUUUUGUUACACCAGAUUUAGCUUUAAUGGCCAUUGCACCCAGUCAAAUGGACUGCAGAUGCUGCUGUGACGUAAAACAGGAUUUUGGCCCGACCCAUAGGUCAUAAUUCCCUAAGGUAUCCCAGUAAGCAAGACAUCCAGCGUGCACAAUACCAGGACCCUGGAACAACUAAAUGGAAUUCAGCCAUCUUUAUAUUAUUGGUUACCAUGGUAUUUGACAAAUAAAAAAAAGUCUGCUGUGAGAAAGUUAACAAUCAUUCAGCUGUGUGAACAUGAAAUUUUCAUGGAAAGGAGAUUGUUUUGAGCCAUGAGACUCACACAUUAGUUAAACGUGCAGCAAAACCAAAACAAUUCGCUAAAAGAGGUUAGACAGUACUGACCUUUAGAGUUCGAUGCUAAUUCUCCGUAGGUUCUUCAGGUCAAAACAUUUCACAAAAUACACAUUCGUAACUGAUUCAAUGUUCAUAAUAAAUAAAUGUAAUAAUGCAUCUUUAAGGGCAGCUACUUAAAAAUGCAAUACACAUAAAAAAACAAUUUUGUGCUAACCAAGUAUGUAGCACAAUGAGAGUCAAAAACCAGUCAACACACAAAAUCUUGUGAUGCAACCA